ACCCUCUGGUUCCCUUUCCCAUCGGAUCGCGACACUGGUCUUGGUGGUCGUAAAGGAGGAAGAGUACCCUGAAGCUGGCCUCACAGCACUGUACUCGGUAUAGAGCAUUGGCCAGAUUCAGACAUGC